GCAAUAGUAAAACUGUCGGGUUUGCCAAGAACUUUACCUACCACGUUUGCCGUUUUGUUCGCAAGUAACCUGGACGCCGUGAGGGGAUCGGGAUCUUCAUGAGUGCGUGAUUGCAGAAAUUUAGAUAAAAUAGAACAGUUGUGUUUGGAGAAGCGAUCCAAGUCUUUUGUGUCAGGUGUUAUCAAUUACCCAGUGAGUUGAAGUCGAGUCAUAAUAACUUGAAACAAGGUUUUCAACGUCACCGAAGAAUGCUGCUGGAAAUCAUCACUCAUCGGAUAAGUGACUCUCCAACGAGAUGGCCUACGUUUCAGAACUUGGCAGACGGAAAUGCGGGUAGUGAUUCGGAGAACGCUGUGCCAGGAGUUUCAGAUUAGUCAACAGACUAUACCGCACCAUCUUCAGAAUCACUUUCAAUAAGCAUGUAAGUGACUUA